CUGGGGAGCUCCAGCCAGGAAAGCCCCAGGCUGUGGCCUAGCAUUAGGCCCAACAGUUUAAAUGAAUUGUGAAAGAGCGACCCAAAACACCACAUACAGCGGCUGUGUUACUCAGAGGAGCAAUGAAGACAGCUAAUUGGUUCUGGCUUGCCCCACUUGGCAUGUAGCAAGUGCCAUUUACUACAGUACCUGUGACCGCUUGCAGAAAUCCAAAGUUCUCAACAAUACUUUGCAGAGAUCCAUGUUGGAGGUUAAUUAUCGAGAAGAAAUGGGCUGAAUGGCUUGAAAUUUAAUCCUGCAACUCCCAGACCAAAUGGGGAUGGGUUUGAAGGAGUCACCGUGACAAAGUUCUUUAACUCUCCAGGCUGCAGGUGUCAGGAUAUGUUGGGUUUUACAGAAGCUGAGCUGGCGCUGGAGCCAUCAUCUGUUGCAUUCCUGGGCUUGUGCAGUUUGGAAAGGUGUGGAUUUUUUUCAGCUGGGUGAAAACCAAAGUGCAGCUCAAGUAAGGAAAAGAGAAA